rnacentral:rRNA from 1 species
AUUGAACGCUGGCGGCAGGCCUAACACAUGCAAGUCAAGCGGAUGAAGGGAGCUUGCUCCUGGAUUCAGCGGCGGACGGGUGAGUAAUGCCUAGGAAUCUGCCUGGUAGUGGGGGAUAACGUCCGGAAACGGGCGCUAAUACCGCAUACGUCCUGAGGGAGAAAGUGGGGGAUCUUCGGACCUCACGCUAUCAGAUGAGCCUAGGUCGGAUUAGCUAGUUGGUGGGGUAAAGGCCUACCAAGGCGACGAUCCGUAACUGGUCUGAGAGGAUGAUCAGUCACACUGGAACUGAGACACGGUCCAGACUCCUACGGGAGGCAGCAGUGGGGAAUAGUGGACAAUGGGCGAAAGCCUGAUCCAGCCAUGCCGCGUGUGUGAAGAAGGUCUUCGGAUUGUAAAGCACUUUAAGUUGGGAGGAAGGGCAGUAAGUUAAUACCUUGCUGUUUUGACGUUACCAACAGAAUAAGCACCGGCUAACUUCG